UCUCCUUCCCUUUCAUUUUCUUUCAAAAAAAUCAAAAUGUAAAACCCUCAUUUCUCUUCUCUUACCAAUUAGAUUUCUUCAUCUCUUCUCCUUACAACUAACCACUCAAUAUCAUCAAAUUCACUUUCAUCAUCUUGCUUCCUUUUCUUCUCUAUUCUAUCUCCAUUUAUUCAAAUCUCAUUUUCUCAAAAUCUCCAAAUCAGAAAAUUUCAACUUAACGAGUGAAGGAAGCAUUCAACUUUGAGUUCCGGUUAUUAUCGAGGCUUCAAGAGUUGUAGAAUUAUGGGACAUCAUUUGGUAGCUCGUUGACGCGCUCAGAGUUGCUUCCGGUUCUUUGGAAUCAAGUUAUACAGGAGUCAUUCCAGGUUCCAUUCCACCUGCCCCUCAGUAGAUCUUAGUCAUUUUGGUGAGCCCUUCUUCUUUGCAAGGGCUAAGUAAUUAUGUAAUGGAACCUUUGCUCAAAAUCUAGAUUAUGUCAAUGUUUCAUAUGUCACAGGCAGGAUCCUCGUGUGGGUUAUGUUGUUUUGAAUCUUGAACUGUUUAGGUAGUGAUUAUGAUUUGGUUAUGUAAGA